ACGGGUGAGUAAUGCCUAGGAAUCUGCCUGGUAGUGGGGGAUAACGCUCGGAAACGGACGCUAAUACCGCAUACGUCCUACGGGAGAAAGCAGGGGACCUUCGGGCCUUGCGCUAUCAGAUGAGCCUAGGUCGGAUUAGCUAGUUGGUGGGGUAAUGGCUCACCAAGGCGACGAUCCGUAACUGGUCUGAGAGGAUGAUCAGUCACACUGGAACUGAGACACGGUCCAGACUCCUACGGGAGGCAGCAGUGGGGAAUAUUGGACAAUGGGCGAAAGCCUGAUCCAGCCAUGCCGCGUGUGUGAAGAAGGUCUUCGGAUUGUAAAGCACUUUAAGUUGGGAGGAAGGGCAUUAACCUAAUACGUUAGUGUUUUGACGUUACCGACAGAAUAAGCACCGGCUAACUCUGUGCCAGCAGCCGCGGUAAUACAGAGGGUGCAAGCGUUAAUCGGAAUUACUGGGCGUAAAGCGCGCGUAGGUGGUUCGUUAAGUUGGAUGUGAAAGCCCCGGGCUCAACCUGGGAACUGCAUUCAAAACUGUCGAGCUAGAGUAUGGUAGAGGGUGGUGGAAUUUCCUGUGUAGCCGUGAAAUGCGUA
rnacentral:rRNA from 1 species